CACGUAGGGUGCGAGCGUUUGUCCGGAAUUAUUGGGCGUAAAGAGCUCGUAGGCGGUUUGUCGCGUCUGCUGUGAAAAACUCGGGGGCUUAACCCCCGGGCCUGCAGUGGGGUACGGGCAGACUAGAGUGCGGUAGGGGGAGACUGGAAUUCCUGGUGUAGCGGUGAAAUGCGCAGAUAUCAGGAGGAACACCGGUGGCGAAGGCGGGGUCUCUGGGGCCGAUACUGACGCUGAGGAGCGAAAGCGUGGGGAGCGAACAGG
rnacentral:rRNA from 1 species